UGGAAUCAGGUUUGACGAACCGUUCCGUCAUGUGAAUCGACCUCUCUGUGGGCCAUAAUCGAGGAUGGCCACUCAUCGAUUCUCAUUCCAACUAUCGUACUAACAAUUAUCAUAUAAGUGUUUAUUUAUACGAUGCUUUAGAUUUACGAUUAAAUGUGCAAUACGUAUAAAAGCCGUUCAGUAAAUUGAUAUCGAAUUUGCGAUUGUGUUGAGAAUUCCCUGCAAUUCCGAACGGAGACAUUAAGAGAAAAGAACACUUACUGCUUUACGAAGUAUAUUUUAUGCGUUCAGUCGAGUUGGGGUGCAGAAAACACACUGAAGGAACGAAGAUUCUGUCAGGAGGACGUGUUGCAACAAUAUACGACAGCUAUAUUACAACGAUGAAAUAUUCUAACUAUGUUAAAUUUAGGUAUCCAGUUCUGUUUGGGAGUUUUCUUUUAUUCGCUAUAACCGCAUUUAAUUACCGACAUUCAUUACUUGGAGAUAUGGAAGAAAGCCGUAUUGUGAUGCGGAAAGAAGAUGAAGCCGGCAAGAAAGCUAUCAGAGAUUUCAUAAGAGAGAAACGAUCUACAUGAUUAAAAGAUGGGAGCCCACAAUGCAGCUGCUGAACCAUCUGAUCAAAAAUGUGAACUAAUGGGGUAAGAGAAAUGUGUUAAAGCUUUUGAAAAUGUGUUUGUGACCAGUUUUCACAGGACAUUUGUUGCUGGUUUUUUAAAACUGGAAAUAAAAGGCUGAAAUGUUUGACUGAAUCUACUGAAAUGGAGUAAGCGUGUUCCUAAAAGGCUACAGUAGUGGCAUGAUUCAGCUGAGCCACAUUUAUUUUACAGAAAACAAAAGUCAUAGUGCCUAAUAAGCAAUGUUUGAUUAAAUGUAGUGGAAAUUUUUAUGAUGAUAAUUAUGUGUUGCAAUAUAAUGAAGAACAAAAAUA